rnacentral:tRNA from 1 species
AGUCAGGUGAUUCAGUGGCAGAAUUCUCACCUUCCAGGUGGGAGACCUGGGAUUGAUUCCCAGCCAGUUCG